UUCCUGUUUAUUGCGCUGCCGCAAAUGGGCAUCUGGAAAUCGUCAAGUAUCUACUAGAUCUCCAACCCGAAACGAUCUCUGUGAUUGGCUAUAACGGUAACCUUCCUGUUCAUGGCGCUGCCUUUAAAGGGCAUCUGGAACUUGUCAAGUAUCUACUAGAUCUCCAACCCGAUACAAUCUCUGCAAAGAACAAUACCGGUGAUCUUCCUGUUCAUUACGCUGCCUGGAAUGGACAUCUGGAAGUAGUCAAGUAUCUACUAGAUCUCCAACCCGACACGAUCUCUGCAAAGAACAACACCGGUGAUCUUCCUGUUCAUGACUCUGCCAGGAAUGGACAUCUGGAAGUAGUCAAGUAUCUACUAGACCUCCAACCCGACACGAUCUCUGUAAAGAACAAUGACGGUAGUCUUCCUGUUUAUUGCGCUGCCGCAAAUGGGCAUCUGGAACUCGUCAAGUAUCUACUAGAUCUCCAACCCGAAACGAUCUCUGUGAAUGGCUAUAACGGUAACCUUCCUGUUCAUGGCGCUGCCUUAAAGGGGCAUCUGGAACUCGUCAAGUAUCUACUAGAUCUCCAACCCGACACAAUCUCUGCAAAGA